AAAAGGGGAAGGAAAAGAAAGGAAGUGAAAGGGAGAGACAGAGAGGUAUUAGGGAAUUCCUGAUGUGGGAAUUUCUACCACCAGGUUUCUCAGACUGUUCUUGAGAAGGUCUUCAAAGCCAGUGGAUGUCUACCCUUACAGGAUUAUGGACCAUAAUACUCUGUAUGGAGGAGAAGACUGGAAGGGAGAGUUGAAGGGAAUAAUAAACACAGUGAAUGAAGUAAAGAGCAUGCUAGAGGCAAUCCAUCAAUGAAUUAAAAGAUGUUUUUAGGUAGCUUCCUGAGACAUAGAAGAUCCUGGGUCAUAGCUGAUUACCUAAAACUGAGUCACCAACAUAGGUGAUACCAGAGACCUGCUUUGAGAGAAGACAUCCCACAUUCCCCUAACAAAUGUCCUCACGACUUGCAGGUUCCCGGGAGCUCCAGUCGAGGAUUAGCCUUCGUUUUCCCUGCAAUGAUAGGGUGCUCCUGCUGCCUGCAUCAUUCAGAGCUCCAGAGGAGGGUGCUG
rnacentral:lncRNA from 1 species